UACGUAGGUGGCAAGCGUUGUCCGGAUUUACUGGGCGUAAAGGAUGCGUAGGCGGACAUUUAAGUCAGAUGUGAAAUACCCGAGCUUAACUUGGGUGCUGCAUUUGAAACUGGGUGUCUAGAGUGCAGGAGAGGCAAGCGGUACUCGAGUGGGUGAGGGGUGAAAAAUCCGUUGAUCCAUUGAAGACCACCAGUGGCGAAGGCGGCUUGCCAGAAUGCGCUCGACGGUGAGGGAUGAAAGCUGGGGGGAGCAAACCGG
rnacentral:rRNA from 1 species